UGGAAGGAGGAUAAGCUGUACUCAUUUACUUGGAAAUGUCACUUAAAUGAACUGCUUCAUUCAUCAAAAAUGUCAACGAAUAUUAGGAAUAUUUUACUGCAGUUUUCCAAUAUAGAUAAAAUUGUUAGUAGGAACAGCUAACAAAUAAGUUUUUCUCCCUUCUGUAUUGGUUAUUACUUUUAAUCUCCAGAAAAAAAAAAUGGAAACAAGAGAAGGUCAAAGUGAAUACAUAUGGACAAUUGGAGGCAAAAGUAGUUUAUUCCAAACUCUCGC
rnacentral:lncRNA from 1 species